rnacentral:lncRNA from 1 species
UCAGAAUAAUUCCUUUUACUCAACCAUCGACUGCUAAACCCAAUAUUUCAUGGUCAUAACAAACACAGCAUAAACACCUAUUUCACAUAAUCAUCCUUCAUACCAGAGACUUAUAAGGACUUUUAUUAACUGAUCGAUUGAACCAAAAAUAGAAGAAACAAACAGAAUGAUACAUAUACAUAUACAGAUCAAUCUGCUUUUAUGUUUUUGAAUGAAAGAGCCAACUUUUCCAUUGAUUUGAGUGUUGGUGUAGCGUGAGUUCAGUGAUGGGCUGCUGUUGUUCCAACUGAAGGAGAAGGGGGCGACGAUUUUGAUGGCCACAGGCUGUCCGGCGAGGGAGGAGAGAAUUUGGGAUUUGGGAGAAGGGAAUUUUAGGGAUUCAAGGCGUGGAGAGUCAGGAUAGGAAGGAGAGGUGGUGGCCGGCUGGAGAAACGGCCGCCGGAAUUGGGAGGGAGAGAUGAGACAGGGAGAGGAGAUGGAACGAGAGGUCAGAGAGGGAGGUGGCGGUGACGGCACCCUUCGAGUGUGUGUGUGAUCGUUGAGGUAGAAGAAUUCUAUGGACUAUUAUGUCUUGGACUUUCAAUUGAGAUAAGAUAUGGG